AGGGAAAAAAUUUCCUUCUAUCUCACACAACGCUUCGUCUUCCUUCCACUGUACGAUUCAUAAUUUUCUCCUACAAAAUGCCUUUUUCUUUCAUAGUAAGAUUCACAAACCCUAAUUCUCAUCUAAACUCUUCAUCCGCUUCUCUCUAUUUUGAUAUCUAAGAGUUCUGCUCUGUUUCAUACACGUUUUCUAUGUCCUUAUCCUCUUUCAGUUUAGGGUUUCUAUUUACGCGCUUCAUAUUAUUUAACUGAAGAACAAUUAUUGGUUCUCUAUUGUCCUAAUUCGCUUCUUCUAAUCGAGGUCUAUUUAUCAGAAGUUGCACAAUACUAAUGGGAUUCUAAUCAUCUUUGAUCGAUUUGUGUAUUAAAACGAUUGGUAAGAUAGGACGACUCCUCGACUGUGUUGUUAUGCUCUCGGUGUUCUUGAUAAAGAGACGCAGAGGUUGAAGACCAUUAAGACUGAAGCCAAUACGAUGGAGAAAGUUAAAGUUUGGUUAGGACAUAAUACGGCCAAAAGUCAACAUCUUUGAUGUGAUUACAUAUAUAUGGGACGCGAAGCAACAUGAAUUAUGAUGGCUUCUACGUUGGCAUAAGCAUCACAACACAAUUAAAAAUACCAGAUUCUUUUAAAGGCCGACGCCAAUUCAAAAGAAACUGCUCAUCUCUUUCACAAAACCCCAUUUUUCCUUCACAUCGAGCUUUUAUACUCUGGUCAUCCCUGGGUUCAAGUUGAUGGUGUGGCCCCUGAAAGUAAUUGUGUGUAUUGUGAUGUGCAAUUCAUAAUAUAGAUAAGAUCGGGAAAGCAGCUACGUGACAUGGACAGGAACUUUCGGCUAUACUUUUCAGGUACAAUUUUGUGUGUAAUUUGCUUCUUUUAACUAUUGUAUGCGUGUAGAUUUUGUUCUUCACUUUUGUAACUUAAUAUUGUUAUUGUUAUGUUUUUUAGGUUGUAUAUCACACGUACAUGUUAACAUAUAAGUUAAGUGCAGGGGCGGAUCUACCUUGAUGUAAGGGGUAGCCUCCGCUACCGCUUGGCCGGAAAAUUUUUGACGUUUUUAGUGUAAAUUUUGGAAAAUUUUGACGUUUUUUCGAUUUCGUUACCGCUUAUGUAUAAAACGUUCCCGCUUGGUCGGAAUCCUAGAUCCGCCACUGGUUAAGUGAAUGUAUAUUUAGUGGUGGCCAUUUUAUGUUUGACUCAUGUUCAUUCAGAAAGAGUAGAAAAACUCAAUUUUAUCACAGGUCAAAACGAGUUUGGGUUAAAACAUGUCAUUUUAGUACCGGUUGAAACGAACUCAUACAUAUUAGGCUGACCCUCAAAACACUUUCUGUUCAUUAUAAAGUUUCACUUAACUACUAAGAAAGAGUAGAAAAAACUCAACUUUAUGUUUUUUUCUUGGAGGUCACAAGAUGAGUUAUGUUCUUUUGAAAAACAAAUCUUGCUUUAUGUUCUUAGGUAAUCACAUUUCCCCCUGGUGCUUAGGUAAUCACUAAAUCCCCUCUAAUAUACUUAUUUGAUAAACAAGUCUUGCUUUGUUAUGUUUUUAUAGCAAACUACAGUUAUGUGUUAUAUAGUAAAUAGACCAGGAGAGAGGAUAGAUGGCUAUUGCUGUUUUUGCAUAUGUCGGUGAUGCACCUUGAAAGAUAGAGCUUUAUGUUGGAAAGAUAGAGCUUUAUGUUGGAAAGGUGACGCUACACGACUACUUUGCCUCCAUAGUAUAUAUCGACAUGGCCUCAAAUUCUAUAGCUCAGACGAGGGCCGUGUGCAGAUGGAAAAACAUUUGACUGAGUUAGUAUGUGCCAAUAACAAGGAUGGUUCAUCUAAGGUUGGUCAACUAUGUACAUCUGAAAACAUUCCAUCCUACUCAGUAGCCGAUGCACAACACAACGAUGCAUAUUAGUAAGUGUCAACCCUAAGGAUGGUUCCUCAAGAGUUGGAACAAUUGUGUUUUACUUAAAAUGAGUUGAUUUCGAUUAUGCUUUAAACUCUAAAAUGGGUCCUCAUGUUGCCAUACCUGCAUUUUACAUAACUUUUUUGCUGCAUUUUUUUAAUCUCUUUUUUGGGCUGCGUUUUUAAUGCUUUUUUUAUAACUGAUUAUUACAUUCUUUCUUUCUUUUUUGAUAAACAUGUAUACAGGAGAUGGUAUUGACGAGGUUACCGAAGUUCAGAUUUCUAAUUAGGCUAUUUCAAAGGUACGCGAAACAAACAUGAAGAAUUCUCGGCUUGCAAAGUAUCUUCACAUUUCUCUAACGGGUGAUGAUAUGUAUGGAGGCUGUAAAAACAUGGCCCUGUCACGAUUGCAGCUCAAGAACCCAUCAAGCAUGCAUUCUCAGCUUUCACAGUUGAUCUCAAAACUCAGCAGACCUUGCCUUCAUGCUUUGACUCUUGGGGUAGUCAACUAAACAUGUUUCUUUUCUUGAGUCCCUAGCUUAUAUGAUUAUAUUUAUGAGUGGCUAAAUUGAUAGGUCAGUAGGUUGGGAUCGAAACAGUCCCCUUUUAGUAUGCUUAAAACAACUUUGGUCAAAUUUAGCUUUUACAUAAUUUUAUAUAAUUAUAUUUGAAGAAAAUUAAUGGCUGCAUUGAAAAUUAUAAAGAAUACUAUAGAUGGAAACAUGGUUCGUCCACUUUGUAAUAUGUAUUGUUCACCAAAUUUACAUGUCAAAAUUAAAUACAUAUGAUGAUGUGGUGAUCUGGUCAAA